rnacentral:lncRNA from 1 species
UAUUUUUUUCAAAUUAUAGUUAAUAGGAAAAACUUCAAAUACCAUCCCUGUGGUUUUGCACUUUCUUACUUUAGUAUCUUGUGGUUUAAAAUGUAUUAAUUUAGUGUCAUGUGGUUUCAUUUUUCUCUUUUUAUUAUAAAUUCCACUAAUUUUUUUUCUUAAAUCAGUGACAAAGUUAAAACUAAAUGAUACUAAAGUGAAUAUUCGAUAAACCAAGGUGGGUAUCUGAAGUUGUUUGUAUAUAAUUUAAAGAAAUAUUAACAAAGAAUCUGACGAAAAGAGAGAAAUAAAACCACAAUGCACUAAAUUGAUACACUUUAAACCACAGGGUAUUAAAGUGAGAAAGUGCGAAACCACAGG